UGGGAUUUGGAUUGUGGAAUUGGGAUCAAAACGGGAUUUGGGUCAUAAUCUGGGGAGAAAAAUGGGAUUUGGUGGGAUUUGGGUGGUGGAAUUGGGGAGAAAAAUGGGAUUUGGCAGGAUUUGGAUCAUAAACUGGGGAUAAAAAUGGGAUUUGUUGGCAUUUGGGUCAUAGAAUUGGGGAGAAAAAUGGGAUUUAAUAGGAUUUGGGUCAUGGAAUUGGGGAGACAAAUGGGAUUUGGUGGGAUUUGGGUCGUGGAAUUGGGGAGAAAAAUGUGAUUUGGUGGGAUUUGGGCCGAGGAAUUGGGGAGAAAUGGGAUUUAGUGGGAUUUGGGUCAUAAACUGGGGAGACAAAUGGGAUUUGGUGGGAUUUGGGUCAUGGAAUUGGGGAGAAAUUGGUUUUGGUGGGAUUUGGGUCGUAGAAUUGGGGAGAAAA
ensembl:lncRNA